UUGACCUCGAAUCAGGUAGGACUACCCGCUGAACUUAAGCAUAUCAAUAAGCGGAGGAAAAGAAACCAACAGGGAUUGCCCCAGUAACGGCGAGUGAAGCGGCAACAGCUCAAAUUUGAAAUCUGGCCCUCGGGUCCGAGUUGUAAUUUAUAGAGGAUGCUUUUGGCGAGGUGCCUUCCGAGUUCCCUGGAACGGGACGCCACAGAGGGUGAGAGCCCCGUAUGGUCGGACACCGAGCCUCUGUAAAGCUCCUUCGACGAGUCGAGUAGUUUGGGAAUGCUGCUCAAAAUGGGAGGUAUAUGUCUUCUAAAGCUAAAUAUUGGCCAGAGACCGAUAGCGCACAAGUAGAGUGAUCGAAAGAUGAAAAGCACUUUGAAAAGAGAGUUAAAAAGUA
rnacentral:rRNA from 1 species